rnacentral:misc_RNA from 1 species
GAUGAAGAACGGAGCGAAAUGCGAUAAGUAAUGUGAAUUGCAGAAUUCAGUGAAUCAUCGAAUCUUUGAACGCACAUUGCGCCCGCCAGUAUUCUGGCGGGCAUGCCUGUUCGAGCGUCAUUUCAACCAUCAAGCCCCCGGGCUUGUGUUGGGGACCUGCGGCUGCCGCAGGCCCUGAAAAGCAGUGGCGGGCUCGCUGUCACACCGAGCGUAGUAGACUUUAUCUCGCUCAGGGCGUGCUGCGGGUUCCGGCCGUUAAACCACCUUCAUAACCCAAGGUUGACCUCGGAUCAGGUAGGAAGACCCGCUGAACUUAAGCUUAUCAUAAGCGGAGGA